ensembl:lncRNA
CAGUUGUUCCUCUGGCCAGAGUGGUGUCCUGUCUGUGUUUUGUAUGUGUUGUAUGUUUUAUGUCAUUUCACUCGUAAUCUCCAGAAAUCUCCUACAUCUGGCGCCCAACGUGGGGCUCGAGUGAAACUGAAAGGGUUUUGGACCCCAGCAAGAUUGAUCAAAAUCAACAAUGGCUGAUCCCCUUGUUCAAAAAAUUCGAAGAGCUUACUAUGCAGAGAAGCCUUACCUCCCGUACAAGGGAAGCAACACCUCCUACAUGGGGUCAAAUGAAAAGGUUGACCCAGGAAGCAGAGAAGACAUUGGUGAAGGCGGGGCAACCUCUGAAUCCUACCAAUCUUUUGCUUGCCAUGAUGGCGGUGGUGACAUGUCAGUCUUCCGGUGAUGGCGGAAAGGGAAACAACUAAAGCACGAAGCAGAGAAGAUCCAGACCAUGCUACAAUUUAUAAAAACAAAUAAAAAAGGGGGAGAUGAAGGGUUAAUAGGGUAGCAGAGAUGUGCCUGCAAACGGGCCUCUCUGCUCAGGCUGAGCGUCCUUGCAUACGAGGCGUUCUGCCAAAGAGUCUGGACACAGCCUUGAAUUUAAUGGUCCCUUGCAAACGAGGGAGCAUUCCCUUCUUGAGAUAAGAAGGAGAUGAGGGCUUUGGGCAGACUCUUCAGUACACAGAGCUUUCACUCCCCUUUGCUAUACGAUAACAUGUAUGCACCUGCACUGUACUGAAAAGGCUUAUUCUUACAGUCUGGAAUUCUGCCUAAGGAGGGCUUUAUAAUAAUAAAUGGCAAUUAGUUUGCCCAGUUGUUC